AUACGAAGGGGGCUAGCGUUGUUCGGAAUCACUGGGCGUAAAGCGCACGUAGGUGGAUCAAGCAGUUGAGGGUGAAAUCCCGGGGCUCAACCUCGGAACUGCCUUCAAUACUGUUGGUCUUGAGUCCGAGAGAGGUGAGUGGAAUUCCUAGUGUAGAGGUGAAAUUCGUAGAUAUUAGGAAGAACACCAGUGGCGAAGGCGGCUCACUGGCUCGGUACUGACGCUGAGGUGCGAAAGCGUGGGGAGCAAACAGGAUUAGAUACCCUAGUAGUCC
rnacentral:rRNA from 1 species